UUAUCCGGAAUUAUUGGGCGUAAAGCGUUCGUAGGCGGCUGUUCAAGUCUGCUGUCAAAGACCGAGGCUCAACCUCGGGUCGGCAGUGGAAACUGGAUAGCUAGAGGUCGGUAGGGGCAGAGGGAAUUCCCAGUGUAGCGGUGAAAUGCGUAGAUAUUGGGAAGAACACCGGUGGCGAAAGCGCUCUGCUGGGCCGAACCUGACGCUGAGGGACGAAAGCUAGGGGAGCGAAUGGGAUUAGAUACCCCAGUAGUCCUAGCCGUAAACGAUGGAAACUAGGUGUGGCCUGUAUCGACCCGGGCCGUGCCGAAGCUAACGCGUUAAGUUUCCCGCCUGGGGAGUACGCACGCAAGUGUGAAACUCAAAGGAAUUGACGGGGGCCCGCACAAGCGGUGGAGUAUGUGGUUUAAUUCGAUGCAACGCGAAGAACCUUACCAGGGCUUGACAUGCCGCGAAUCUUCCUGAAAGGGAAGAGUGCCUUCGGGAGCGCGAAC
rnacentral:rRNA from 1 species